rnacentral:rRNA from 1 species
UGCAGUCGAGCGGACCGACGGGAGCUUGCUCCCUUAGGUCAGCGGCGGACGGGUGAGUAACACGUGGGUAACCUGCCUGUAAGACUGGGAUAACUCCGGGAAACCGGGGCUAAUACCGGAUGCUUGAUUGAACCGCAUGGUUCAAUCAUAAAAGGCGGCUUCGGCUGCCGUUUACAGAUGGACCCGCGGCGCAUUAGCUAGUUGGUGAGGUAACGGCUCACCAAGGCGACGAUGCGUAGCCGACCUGAGAGGGUGAUCGGCCACACUGGGACUGAGACACGGCCCAGACUCCUACGGGAGGCAGCAGUAGGGAAUCUUCCGCAAUGGACGAAAGUCUGACGGAGCAACGCCGCGUGAGUGAUGAAGGUUUUCGGAUCGUAAAGCUCUGUUGUUAGGGAAGAACAAGUACCGUUCGAAUAGGGCGGUACCUUGACGGUACCUAACCAGAAAGCCACGGCUAACUACGUGCCAGCAGCCGCGGUAAUACGUAGGUGGCAAGCGUUGUCCGGAAUUAUUGGGCGUAAAGCGCGCGCAGGCGGUUUCUUAAGUCUGAUGUGAAAGCCCCCGGCUC